GCCCUCGUAGCUCAGGAGGAUAGAGCACUUGAUUCCUAAUCAAGGUGUCGCAUGUUCGAGUCAUGCCGAGGGCG
rfam:Denitrovibrio acetiphilus DSM 12809, complete genome.